rnacentral:rRNA from 1 species
GACAGAGGGGGGCAAGCGUUGCUCGGAAUCACUGGGCGUAAAGGGCGCGUAGGCGGGAUGGCAAGUCGGUCGUGAAAUCCUUCGGCUCAACCGAAGAACGUCGGCCGAUACUGCCGUUCUUGAGGGAUGCAGAGGAGAGUGGAAUUCCUGGUGUAGCGGUGAAAUGCGCAGAUAUCAGGAAGAACACCCGUGGCUAAGGCGGCUCUCUAGUACGGUACUGACGCUGAGACGCGAAAGCGUGGGGAGCGAACAGG